UACGUAGGGACCGAGCGUUGUUCGGAAUUAUUGGGCGUAAAGGGUGCGUAGGCGGUUUGGUAAGUCUGAUGUGAAAUCUAUGGGCUCAACUCAUAGUCUGCAUCGGAAACUGCCGGGCUUGAGUGUGGGAGAGGUGAGUGGAAUUCCUGGUGUAGCGGUGAAAUGCGUAGAUAUCAGGAGGAACACCUGUGGCGAAAGCGGCUCACUGGACCAUAACUGACGCUGAUGCACGAAAGCUAGGGGAGCAAACAGG
rnacentral:rRNA from 1 species